rnacentral:lncRNA from 1 species
ACUUUAACGGUAGGGAUGUUUCGAGGUAUUUUUAAAAAUAUAAGGACUAAAUGAGCUUUUACCCUUUAUUUUUACCUCUAUUUUGAAAACCUCACAAUCGCCUCAAGCAGGAGGGUCUUCCAAUCCCAGUUGAUUGCAUCUGCAGUGAUUACAAAGCUCAUCUUCGAGUCUUUUGCAAUCUCUAUGGUUUUGACUUGGAGAUUUUCAAGCGCCUUCAAGUUCCAUUCAACCUCAGACGUGCUCCUCAUAUUCAUACUGUCCAUUAGCAAAGGAUAGCUCAAAAUGUCUCCCAAUGCGAUGUAAUUUUUUUAUUUCCUUAUCAAUUGCCAACCAACUCAAUUAAAGAGUUGUACAUUAAAAUAUGCUCCCAUUACUUAGAAUAAACUAGAAUAUAUAAACUAUUCACAAUCCAAGUAGACCUCAAUUUUGAAAUAUGAAGAAUAAAUAUAUAUGAAGUAAAAGCUUUUAAAAAUAUUGAAGAG